rnacentral:rRNA from 1 species
AGACAGCAGUCGCCGCGGGAAUACGUAGGUGGCAAGCGUUGUCCGGAAUUAUUGGGCGUAAAGGGCUCGCAGGCGGUUUCUUAAGUCUGAUGUGAAAGCCCCCGGCUCAACCGGGGAGGGUCAUUGGAAACUGGGGAACUUGAGUGCAGAAGAGGGGAGUGGAAUUCCACGUGUAGCGGUGAAAUGCGUAGAGAUGUGGAGGAACACCAGUGGCGAAGGCGACUCUCUGGUCUGUAACUGACGCUGAGGAGCGAAAGCGUGGGGAGCGAACGGGAUUAGAUACCCCCGUAGUCCCUGUCUCUUAUAC